GUAGGGACCAAGCGUUGUUCGGAUUUACUGGGCGUAAAGGGCGCGUAGGCGGCAAUUCAAGUCAUCUGUGAAAUCUCCGGGCUUAACUCGGAACGGUCAGAUGAUACUGCUUUGCUAGAGUGCAGAAGGGGCAAUCGGAAUUCUUGGUGUAGCGGUGAAAUGCGUAGAUAUCAAGAGGAACACCUGAGGUGAAGACGGGUUGCUGGGCUGACACUGACGCUGAGUGCGCGAAAGCCAGGGGAGCAAACGGGGUUAGAUACCCCGGUAGUCCUGGCCCUAAACGAUGAAUACUUGGUGUCUGGAGUUAUUAGUGCUCCGGGUGCCGUCGCUAACGUUUUUAGUAUUCCGCCUGGGGAGUACGCUCGCAAGAGUG
rnacentral:rRNA from 1 species